GUUGUUGUCACUGUUUGUAGGAUCUUACUAUUCAGCCUAAGCUGGCCUGGAAUCCAAGAACAUUUUGUCUUAGUCUCUUGAGUGCAGUCGUGCUUCCCCACACAGGUGAACAGCAAGGAAAUUGUCCGUGGCUGUUGUCUGAGAAGGUCUAUGUGACAGAGCACUGCAUUCUUAUAUUCGUUAAGAAUGAUGUCAUAGGAAAGAAGUGGAGUUUCCCUAAACGUGUUUUCCUAGCACUAUGGUAAGUUCUCAAA
rnacentral:lncRNA from 1 species